GGACCUGUAGCUCAGCGGUAGAGCAUCUGAUUCCAGUAAAUCUAACUCGUUAGGGUUACUACCUCUGCCUCCAGAAGGUCAUCCGUUCAAAUCGGGUCAGGUUCA